UGGUGCGAUCAUAUAAGCACUAAAGCACCGGAUCCCAUCAGAGCUCCGAAGUUAAACAUGCUUGGGCCAGAGUAGUACUAGGAUGGGUGACCCCCGGGAAGUCCUCAUGUUGCACUCU
rnacentral:rRNA from 1 species